AGGCUGCAGAAUGUUUUGCUCCAGCUCAUCCCAGCCUGGCGUGGGACAGGGAAGAGAAAUGGCUGCAGUGGAGUCAGUCCAGGGGCCGGUGACCUUCAAGGAGAUGGCUAUGUAUUUCACCAGGGAAGAGUGGGCUUUGCUGGACCCCACUCAGAAAGCCCUCUACUGGGAUGUCAUGCAGGAGAACUAUGAGACUGUGACCUCGCUGGGCCAGAGAAUAACAUCCAUGUUUCGCUGCAGAUCAGCUCGUCC